rnacentral:tRNA from 1 species
GGGCUGUUAGCUCAGCUGGUAGAGCGCCGCGUUUGCAUCGCGGAGGCCGCGAGUUCGAAUCUCGCACAGUCCACAA